UACUGUUGUGAGUGUGGGUGUGUUUGGAGGAGUUUAGUCUACUGUUGUGAGUGUGAGUGUCUGGAGGAGUCAAGUCUUCUGCUGUUGUUGGAAAGUGGCCCGUGUACACCGAGUGGAGAUUAACUCCCAACUGUGCCUGCCACGGGUCGAUAUUCCCCUCAUUUGUAUUUGUCGCUCUCCGUCGCGCCGACUGAGAGGAGGUGGUGGUGGUGGUGGGACAGACAGUCGCCCGUUAUUAUUGCGUGCUCCCCCGGCGCACCACACAGGGACAGGCCGUUCACUGGCAUGUUUUUAUUAUACUAAUAUUCAUCUCGAUACAUCUUUCUCUGAAGAGUAGAUCCAGUAAGUAGCUGAGACAGAAACCACAAGCUGUGCUGUCAUAAAACAGAACAGACGGACAGAGAAAAACAAAACCAAAAUAAAAAACCACACAGCGCACGGAUGGUCUGUUGUUCUUAUCAGCUCUUUCCUUCCCCGGCCGCCUAGUGUGUGAACAUAAUGCUGUAGACCUAUAAUAACUCUACAACAGAGCGCACUCAAGAACUCUGGAGUUCUUCCAUUUAUUAUUUCGAAGGAGAUGUAAAAUAUAGGUCACACUUUGUGUGUGCGCGCGAGAGUCUUCUGCGUGUGUCUGCGUGUGUGUGUCUUGAACUGCAUGUGCCAGGCUUAGAGGAUGAAAAGGAAAGUGAGUACAGCAUUAAGCCAGGCAUGGGAUUAUUGUGGAAUCAUGAGAGAAAAUCCUUACCACCAAAGCGAUCGCCCAAAGUUCCCUACUUCGCCCUCGAGGUAUCAGACAGCAAGGCCUCGGUCGCCAGCAAAGAUGAGGAACGUAACCAAGGACCCAGGCUUCGCUUGGCCGCUCUCGUGGUAUCUUGGAUCUCAGUGGUCUUUUCUUUCAGCUCAGGAGUGGCCGCCAUUGAGCCUGUAUAGUGAUAUCAUUUUUCUUCUUUGCUUCUGCUACUUCGUUAAUCUACAAAUCUUCCAAAGCCAUAUCAAAAGGAGAGCGAGAUGAGGAGAAAGGAAGAUUGUUAACAGACAUAUUUUCUUCCUGUUGCGGAGUUAUCGCCCUUGUCCUAGCCACCUCCAAAGUGUACUUAGGGCGCCGUCUGGACAGUCGGUCACUGCUUACAGACAGUAUUAUCACCUAUGUUGGUGCGGCGAUGAGCUUUUUGGGGGUGCUAGGUUUGGAACUGUACAGAGAGGAUGAGCAAGUGUGGUACCUGGAUGCAGCGUUUGGACUCGCGUGUGGGAUCUUCCUGCUUUUAUUUGGCCUUAAGCUACUUACUCAGAUGACGUGCCUAUACAAGAAACAUCAGCCUAUGGAAGACGAUGACGACGAAGAAGUAGAAUGACCACCACAGCAGUGUCUUUUGUGCUUUCACAUUGUUGAUUUACCUGCUUCAGUCACGUGGUGCCUCGAGGAUGUGUUGAAUAUCCAAGCCAUGAACAUGGUGACUAUCGUAAUAGUCCCGAAAUAUUUCAGGAGAAUGUGUAAACAACAACAAAUGCUUAAAUCAAUAACUGGGUGCAAAAUUCUGACAAACGCCAAAUUGAAAAAUGGCUUUUGUCGGCGUCUUGUGUCCUACCUUCAAAAUGGAUGCGUUUCUUGAGGACGUGUUAUGGAUAAUAUGAUUAUUAUGUUCAAGUGACACUUAUAGGCAGAGAGGAUUUACAUAUGUACAUAAUAAUCUAUUUUUAUUGUAAUAUUUGAGCUCUGUACUACUGUGGAAAAAUGGCGCUGGAUAAUAUUGGUUACUUACAAAACUGUCAUGUUUUGAUAUGGUGGACCAAAGCUGAUCAGAGUUUGAGCAUUUUCCUCAAUUACAUUCUGAUUUAAUUAACGCCAAAGACAACCAUUCCAAGAAUAAAACAAAGGAAAAAAUAUCAGGAAAUAAACCAAAGACCAUACUCAAGUGUGCACACUUUAUUCGCUACUUAAGAAUUACAAAGUUCUAAAUUUUUAUCUGAAAUUCCUCGGACGUUUUGAGUUACUAAGAGCAUGGAUGAGAUCAGAAACCAAACAUUCUGUCUGAUCUAUCAAAAUCGUAAGAAUAAUAUUUCGGAAUAGUUUUCAAGAUACACAAGUAAUUGCAUUCGAGGAAGCUCGACGUGCUGUGAAACUCGAAUUAUUUUUCGUCCGAUUUCUCAAAACUAGGUGCUAAGCAGAUAACACUUUGUAAUUCUACGAUAGCGCAUUGUCAUUAGCCUGUGCACCGUUAGCUUGCUUGAUAUCACACUGAACUACGGAGCGCAUGGCCCUCAGUGGAGUCCUUAAUAGUAAUGGAGCGACCUGGAUUCGGAUUAUUUGGGGGAGUUUUUGAAGCUCUCCACUCAUUCAUUGGCUCCGUCUUUUCGAAGAUUUUAGUUUUUUUUAGUUUAGUGAGAGUUUAACGGCAUUUGCAACACAAUAAGGUCAUAUAAGUGCCGAAGAUGGGCGCUACAUUUGGUGAUUCCCUUUUUAAAAUAAUCUUACAGUGUCAUAAGGGGAGAUAAACCUUUAUAAUGACCAAAGACCUAGAAGACAAUAAGUGAAUUAUUCAAAGUAUGGUCUUAUACCUGUCGUGAUCUGCAUUUGGAUACAGGCUUUGUAUUUCGUCCGCCAGCUGUUCAGAUGUACUAGACCACGAAUUUUUACUGUUUUUUUUUUUCAAUUGCAGUUUCUUAAUCUGUUUAGUUUAGUUUAGGUACGAAUUUUACGGAACUUGCAACUCAAUUAGGUCACAAUAGUAGAAGUGCCGAGGGUUAGAAGUGUACAAGAGAGUAGCAAACACAAAGAGUAGGGAGGAGAGAUAAGGAAAUGGGUGCUAGGAAAUAAGGAGCAAACCACACCAGAGCUCCUGCCAACCACCUACUCGUAAUCUGUGGUAUGAUUUGCAUGUGUUCUAGAACAUGAAUGUUGUCAAAAUUCUCAAUUCUAAAUGUUGAUAAAUAGAAGGAAAAGGCACAUCAUGUUGAUAAUAUACAUUCUCUCUCUCUCCUAAAGAAUUUGCAUUGUGGACUAAAGCUUUUGAACAGCUUGCAAAAGAUUAACGUUUCUUGUCGCUCUUUCAUAGAUCCCCCUUUGGGUAAAUUGGAGUUGAUCAAAGUGUUCCACUCUGAUAUAAAGAGAUGAACAGCUUUUCUAAAAGUUGUUUUAAUUUUCGACUUCUUCGUCUUUGACUGUCCAUCGACACAGAUGAAGACUGCAAAUGUGCUUUAAACCAGACAAGAACAUUAGAAUUUAUAGGCCACAAGGCCUGCUUUGGAUCUACACAAUCUUCACAUUUUUAGACUCUGGAAGUCUGAUUGUGAGGGUUUACAAUGUCUGGUGUUGUGAGAGUUAUAUUUGUUUCGUUCAGUCAUAAUAAAUCCUUUUCAUAUCAGGAUGUCUGAGUGCAAGAAGUGACUAGAUCUAUAUCCACUUUUCAACAGUUUCGAGAAAAACGAGUUUGAAAAUUUGACGAGAAUGAAAUCUCUAUGACAUAAUCAAAAAAA